rnacentral:rRNA from 1 species
UACAGAGGUCCCGAGCGUUGUUCGGAUUCACUGGGCGUAAAGGGUGCGUAGGUGGUGAGGUAAGUCGGAUGUGAAAUCUCCGAGCUCAACUCGGAAAUGCAUUGGAAACUACCUUGCUAGAGGGUUGGAGGGGGGACUGGAAUACUUGGUGUAGCAGUGAAAUGCGUAGAUAUCAAGUGGAACACCAGUGGCGAAGGCGAGUCCCUGGACAACUCCUGACACUGAGGCACGAAAGCUAGGGGAGCAAACAGG